rnacentral:rRNA from 1 species
UACGGAGGAUGCAAGCGUUAUCCGGAAUGAUUGGGCGUAAAGCGUCCGCAGGUGGCUGUGUAAGUCUGCUGUUAAAGAGUCUAGCUCAACUAGAUAAAAGCAGUGGAAACUACACGGCUAGAGUACGUUCGGGGCAGAGGGAAUUCCUGGUGUAGCGGUGAAAUGCGUAGAGAUCCGGAGGAACCCCAGAGGCGAAGGCGGCGCCCUGGCUCGCAACUGACGCUCAGACACGGCAGCAUGGGGAGCGAACGGG